rnacentral:rRNA from 1 species
UACGUAGGGUGCAAGCGUUAAUCGGAAUUACUGGGCGUAAAGCGUGCGCAGGCGGUUUUGUAAGUCUGUCGUGAAAUCCCCGGGCUCAACCUGGGAAUUGCGAUGGAGACUGCAAGGCUGGAGUCUGGCAGAGGGGGGUAGAAUUCCACGUGUAGCAGUGAAAUGCGUAGAGAUGUGGAGGAACACCGAUGGCGAAGGCAGCCCCCUGGGUCAAGACUGACGCUCAUGCACGAAAGGCGUGGGGAGCAAACGAGG